rnacentral:misc_RNA from 1 species
UCUCCGUAGGUGAACCUGCGGAGGGAUCAUUACUGAGUGAGGGCUCCGGCCCGACCUCCAACCCCAUGUGAACCGAAACCUGUUGCUUCGGGGGCGACCCUGCCGUUUCGGCGGUGGCGCUCCCGGUGGCAAAUUAUUAAACUCUGCAUCUCUUGCGUCGGAGUCUUAAUGAAUUUAAACAAAACUUUUAACAACGGAUCUCUUGGUUCUGGCAUCGAUGAAGAACGCAC